rnacentral:rRNA from 1 species
AUACGAAAGGGGCUAGCGUUGUUCGGAAUUACUGGGCGUAAAGCGCACGUAGGCGGCAUUGUAAGUUGGGGGUGAAAUCCAGGGCUCAACCCUGGAACUGCCUCCAAAACUACAGAGCUAGAGGAUGUGAGAGGAUAGUGGAAUUCCGAGUGUAGAGGUGAAAUUCGUAGAUAUUCGGAAGAACACCAGUGGCGAAGGCGACUGUCUGGCACAUUUCUGACGCUGAGGUGCGAAAGCGUGGGGAGCGAACAGGAUUAGAAACCCUAGUAGUCC